rnacentral:rRNA from 1 species
UAACGGCGAGUGAAGCGGCAACAGCUCAAAUUUGAAAUCUGGCUCUUUAGGGCCCGAGUUGUAAUUUGUAGAGGAUGCUUUUGGCGCGGUGCCUUCCGAGUUCCCUGGCACGGGACGCCUUAGAGGGUGAGAGCCCCGUACGGUUGGACACCAAGCCUCUGUAAAGCUCCUUCGACGAGUCGAGUAGUUUGGGAAUGCUGCUCUAAAUGGGAGGUAAAUUUCUUCUAAAGCUAAAUAUUGGCCAGAGACCGAUAGCGCACAAGUAGAGUGAUCGAAAGAUGAAAAGCACUUUGAAAAGAGGGUUAAAUAGCACGUGCAAUUGUUGACAGGGAAGCGUUUGCGACCAGACCUUCCUCCUAGCGGAUCAUCCGGUGUUCUUCGCCGGUGCACUUCGCUAGGUCGAGGCCAGCAUCGGUUUCUGCAGGGGGAUACAAGCCCAGGGAACGUAGCUCUUUCGGGAGUGUUAUAGCCCUCCGCAUAAUACCCUUGCGGGGACCGAGGACCGCGCUUUUUGCAAGGAUGCUGGCGUAAUGGUCGUCAACGACCCGUCUUGAAACACGGACCAAGGAGUCGAACAUUUAUGCGAGUGUCUGGGUGUUAAACCCUCACGCGGAAUGAAAGUGAACGGAGGUGAGAGCCCUUACGGGUGAAUCAUCGACCGAUCCUGAUGUCUUCGGAUGGAUUUGAGUAAGAGCAUAACUGUUCGGACCCGAAAGAUGGUGAACUAUGCGUGGAUAGGGUGAAGCCAGAGGAAACUCUGGUGGAGGCUCGCUGCGGUUCUGACGUGCAAAUCGAUCGUCAAA